GCUUCCCUUGGACCAGCAGGUGCAUCGGCCAGGUUUUGGUUGUUUUUAGGAAGUCGGAAGAAGCGCCCAAGAUACCAUGUGGGGCAGGUUUUCAUUCUGUACUAGUCCUUCCCCUGGGAUGGAACGGCAUAAAACCUGAGUCAUCGUUAGCAUGUAAAUGUAAUUGAAGCCUGCACAGCUUGGAAAAAAAUUCUCAAGGUAUGGACGAGAAGGGUGGCCCGAGUGGUGAGGACGCACCCAAGGCCAUCAAGCCC